UACGUAGGGUGCAAGCGUUAUCCGGAAUUAUUGGGCGUAAAGCGUGCGCAGGCGGCCUUUCAAGUCUGCCGUCAAAGACCGUAGCUCAACUACGGAAAGGCGGUGGAAACUGAUAGGCUAGAGUGCAGUAGGGGUAGAGGGAAUUCCCAGUGUAGCGGUGAAAUGCGCAGAUAUCAGGAGGAACACCGAUGGCGAAGGCAGUUCUCUGGGCCGUAACUGACGCUGAGGAGCGAAAGCGUGGGGAGCGAACAGG
rnacentral:rRNA from 1 species